rnacentral:rRNA from 1 species
UGCCAGCCGCCGCGGUAAUACGUAGGUGGCAAGCGUUAUCCGGAAUUAUUGGGCGUAAAGCGCGCGUAGGCGGUUUUUUAAGUCUGAUGUGAAAGCCCACGGCUCAACCGUGGAGGGUCAUUGGAAACUGGAAAACUUGAGUGCAGAAGAGGAAAGUGGAAUUCCAUGUGUAGCGGUGAAAUGCGCAGAGAUAUGGAGGAACACCAGUGGCGAAGGCGACUUUCUGGUCUGUAACUGACGCUGAUGUGCGAAAGCGUGGGGAUCAAACAGGAUUAGAUA